rnacentral:rRNA from 1 species
UACGUAGGGGGCAAGCGUUGUCCGGAAUCAUUGAGCGUAAAGCGCGCGUAGGCGGCCCGGUAAGUCCGCUCUGAAAGUCCAGGGCUCAACCCUGGAAAGCGGGUGGAUACUGCCGGGCUAGAGUCCGGAAGAGGCGAGUGGAAUUCCUGGUGUAGCGGUGGAAUGCGCAGAUAUCAGGAGGAACACCGGUGGCGAAGGCGGCUUUCUGGGCCUUACCUGACGCUGAGGAGCGAAAGCUGGGGGGAGCAAACAGG